CCUACGGGAGGCAGCAGUGAGGAAUAUUGGUCAAUGGGCGCAAGCCUGAACCAGCCAAGUCGCGUGAGGGAUGACGGUCCUAUGGAUUGUAAACCUCUUUUGUCGGGGAGCAAGGCCCGCCACGUGUGGCGGGAAGGAGAGUACCCGACGAAAAAGCAUCGGCUAACUCCGUGCCAGCAGCCGCGGUAAUACGGAGGAUGCGAGCGUUAGCCGGAUUUAUUGGGUUUAAAGGGUGCGUAGGCGGAAGGUUAAGUCAGCGGUAAAAUGUCGGUGCUCAACACCGGCCUGCCGUUGAAACUGGUCUUCUUGAGUGAGCGAGAAGUAUGCGGAAUGCGUGGUGUAGCGGUGAAAUGCAUAGAUAUCACGCAGAACUCCGAUUGCGAAGGCAGCAUACCGGCGCUCAACUGACGCUGAGGCACGAAAGCGUGGGGAUCGAACAGGAUUAGAUACCCUUGUAGUC
rnacentral:rRNA from 1 species